GUUCCCACCAUUAAACCUAAUGAGUCCUUCGUCAAGCAUUUCCACCAUCUCCAGGAAAAUGACCGCUUUCAAAAGCUUUUUAAGCUGAACUCCUCAUCGAUAAAAAAUACGAAGAAGUCACACUAAGGUCACACGCGUAUUAUGAUGAAAAUACAGACACUGCGGCGUAUCCAGCUGCUGCUCUUGUGACACAAUUCAGAAAGCGUCCUAUACCCAGGGCCGCUAAUUUUGGAACAAUAGGAGCUAUUCUUGGACAGCUACUGACCUCUACAACGGACAGAUACUACAAAAAGUUUGUGAACGGCAGCCUUGUUAAAAUGGACUUCUGGGAUAACGAAACGACGGCCACAUU
rnacentral:lncRNA from 1 species